AAAGUCGUAACAAGGUUUCCGUAGGUGAACCUGCGGAAGGAUCAUUACCGAUUUUAGCGGACCUGAUCUCUGAUCAUGGUCUCGCGAAAACAUUGUAUUUAAAACCCCACCCUUAUAAAUUGAAUCAUUUUAUAUUGUAUAUAAAUAAAUAAAGAUCACUUUCAACAACGGAUCUCUUGGCUCUC
rnacentral:misc_RNA from 1 species